UGUGUCGUUUUUGAAUUUUUGUAAAAUCUUCUAGUGAAAAUACCAUAUAGUAGACAUAAAGUUGAUUAGAACUUUCCAUUAAGUAUAAUCUUGAGCUAAUCCCUUAUCUUCUAUCUUCCCUGCCUGUUUCUAAGGAUGCUAUGAAGAACUAAUAAGGAGAUAUUUUAUUUAAGGCAUUGUUGUUAUAAGCACAAGGACGACAUGACUCAAAAGAUUUGGCUAAGAAUGAUAAGCAUUCAAUGAUAAACUUUUAUAGGUGCUGGAGAGAAGAAAAAAACAUGCCAGGCCUCUUCUCCACAGCUGCUCACCCCUAUCCCAAGGACAUCACAGCCUGUUCUACUGGAUUCUCUGAUGAUGGAAAUUGUCUUAGACUUAUUAUGAAUUUGCAAGGAAAAAAUAGGUCUUUGGGCUUAUAACUCAUUGGAACACAUUGAAACCAGAAGGAAAAGUAAUAAUAUAGAAUACCUUUGGGAUAUUUCACUAAAGUUAGUUCUUGUAUUUCUCCUAGGAUGGAAUAGAUCAACUAUAAUUAAAGAUGAAAUUGAUUUUCCUCUCAUCUUAGAAGAAGACUGUUUAAGUGUCUAUUCUUCAUCUACUUUUAACGGCUUCAAAGACCUGAUUGGACUCAUUCUCAAAUUCUGUGGGAAGAUGAUGAUCACUGAACAAAAGGGUAUUGCUGCAAGCUUAAUCAUUUUCAAGGUCAUCCCUUUCAUCCUUCAUUCAGAAAGACAUGAAAUUGGACUUUUUCCAGUUUUUAGGAAUGUAUUAGUCUUCAGGAGCUGUGGCAAGCAGAGCAGCAAGCACCAGUGCGCUAAUUCAUGAUGUACCGUAGGAAGCAAAACAGCUGGCCCUGUAGAUUUGAAUAAUAUCCAAGAUUACUUGUAAAUUUUUGGACAACGCAAGCCAAUAUGAAGUCUCUGCUCUCAAAGAACUCACGUUUCACUUAGAGAUACUGAAAACACCACAAAAGGAAACCUUGAAAAUCCUGCCCAGAGCCCAGUGGAGGUGAUUUAACCCUGUACCUAUUCCUGGGAAUGUAACAGCACGGACAGAGAAACUGAGAUAGUAGAUGCACUUGAAGUGGUGACCGAACAAUCCUGAAUGCAAAGCAUUGUAUUGCAUAGAAAAUAAAGAAUAGGGAAAAAAAAAAACAAACAACCCACAAUUUUAGUGCCUUUCCUUCCAGUCUUUUUCUGUGUAUAUUUAAAAAUAAAUAAGCUUGAGAUUUUACAGCUGCGUUAGUCUUUUUAACCACAAUUUU